rnacentral:rRNA from 1 species
UACAGAGGUCUCAAGCGUUGUUCGGAUUCAUUGGGCGUAAAGGGUGCGUAGGUGGCGCGUUAAGUCAGGUGUGAAAUUUCGGAGCUUAACUCCGAAACUGCAUUUGAUACUGGCGUGCUUGAGGACUGGAGAGGAGACUGGAAUUCAUGGUGUAGCAGUGAAAUGCGUAGAGAUCAUGAGGAAGACCAGUGGCGAAGGCGGGUCUCUGGACAGUUCCUGACACUGAGGCACGAAGGCCAGGGGAGCAAACGGGG